GCCUAGCCGUAACACGCAAUUAAACUACCAAUUGCCCGCCAAACAACUACGAGUUACACUUAAAACUUAAAAGACUUGACGGUACUUCACUACACCCUAGAGGAGCCUGUCUAAUAACCGACGACCCACGAUUAACCCAACCCCCCCUUGCCUACAGUCUAUAUACCGCCGUCGCCAGCCUACCUUGUAAAAGAAAUAAAGUAGGCCAAACAGCGCCCACACUAAAACGACAGGUCGAGGUGUAACUCAUGGAGGGGCCCAAGAUGGGCUACACUCUCUCGCCCGAAAAUACGGAGAACACUAUGAAAUUAGUCUUUAAAGGUGGAUUUAGCAGUAAGGUAGAAAUAAAACACCUGCCUGAACAAAACGCAAUGAAGUGCGUACACACCGCCCG
rnacentral:rRNA from 1 species